GUUGUAUGGUUAAGUGACUAAGCGUACACGGUGGAUGCCUUGGCAGUCAGAGGCGAUGAAGGACGUAUUAACUUGCGAUAAGCCCAGAUUAGGCAGUAAAAGCCACUUGAGUCUGGGAUUUCCGAAUGGGGAAACCCACUAGCAUAAGCUAGUAUCGCUGCGUGAAUACAUAGCGCAGC
rnacentral:rRNA from 1 species